rnacentral:lncRNA from 1 species
AGUGCUGGGGGACCCGGCGCACCCUCCGCAGCUGCUGGCCCGGGUGCUAAACCCCUCACUGCCCGGGCCGGCGGUGCCGGCGGGCUGCUCUCAGUGCGGGACCUCGGAGCCUGCGCCCACCCGGAACUAGCCGCGUUCAGCCUUGGUUCCCGCCCCCGCCUCUCCCGCCACACCUCUCCACAAGCAGAGGGAGCUGGCUUCAGCCUCAGCCAGCACGGAGAGGGGCCCCCACAGCGCAGUGGCGGGCUGAAGGGCUCCUUGAGCAUGGCCAGAGUGGACGCCAAAGCUGAGGAGGCGCCGAGAGCCAGUGAGGGCUGCUAGCACGUUGUCACCUCUCAAUACAUAAAACUACUGGAGGGUGGUUCCAAGAUGGCCAAAUAGAAACAGCUCCAGUCUACAGCUCCCAGCAUGAGCGAUGCAGAAGACGAAUGAUUUCUGCAUUUCCAACUGAGUAGAGAGCUGACUUUAGAGGGAUCAAGAAUAGCUUGCUGGAUGGAAGGAGCUUGGGGCCAGUCAUCAUCUUAAAGGCUCUGUGGCAGCUUGGACUUGAAGUAGGGUGCAC